AGAGUUUUGAUCAUGGCUCAGGAUGAACGCUAGCUACAGGCUUAACACAUGCAAGUCGAGGGCAGCAUGGUCUUAGCUUGCUAAGGCCGAUGGCGACCGGCGCACGGGUGAGUAACGCGUAUCCAACCUUCCCCUUACUAAGGAAUAGCCCGGCGAAAGUCGGAUUAAUGCCUUAUGUUCUCCUUUGCAGGCAUCUAACGAGGAGCAAAGAUUCAUCGGUAAGGGAUGGGGAUGCGUCUGAUUAGCUUGUCGGCGGGGUAACGGCCCACCAAGUCGACGAUCGGUAGCCGACCUGAGAGGGUGAUCGGCCACAUUGGAACUGAGAGACGGUCCAAACUCC
rnacentral:rRNA from 1 species